UUUAUCCAGCCAGUCUUGACCAAAAUGUUGUGCGUUGUCUCAUUUGAAGACAGCCUUUUUUUCUCCAUUCAGCUAUAGAGCUAAAAUUGUCAUUUACAGCCGAAUUAACUUUCUCACAAUCCAUAACGCAUCCCAAACCAGCAAGGUAUAUUUGCAAACAUUCAUUCAUUCAUCUUCCGAGCCGCUUGAUCCUCACUAGGGUCGCGGGGGGCGCUGGAGCCUAUCCCAGCUGUCUUCUGGCAGUAGGCGGGGGACACCCUGAAUCGGUUGCCAGCCAAUCGCAGGGCACACAGAAACGAACAACCAUUCGCACUCACACUCACACCUAGGGACAAUUUAGAGUGUUCAAUCAGCCUGCCACGCAUGUUUUUGGAAUGUGGGAGGAAACCGGAGCACCCGGGGAAAACCCACGCAGGCCCGGGGAGAACAUGCAAACUCCACACAGGGAGGCCGGAGCUGGAAUCGAACCCGGUACCUCUGCACUGUGAAGCCGACGUGCUAACCACUGGACUACCGGGCCGCCUAUUUGCAAACAUUGCAACAUUUUAGUAGUUGAACUGUCAGCUCACUCUAUCUCAUCUGAUUUAGUCUAUCAUUCAGAGGGACAACAUGUCAGUAGUAUUCAAACAACUAUUCACACUGACAUUUACACUUAACAGGUAAGUUAAGACUUCAACGAAUCAAACAUACUGAACUUAUUUUUGGACGCAAACCGCAGAAAGAACAGGCACUGUACUGGACUUUCCAAAAUUUAAAGCUCAUCUUGCUUUGGUCUGGGCACUGUGAGAUGUUUUGCCUUAUGUCAAACUAUGUGUUUUGUGUCUUUGUUGCCCGAGAUCUGUUCUAUACAGUGUUUUUUAUAUCCAACAAUUCAUCAUCUAAGUCGGUACACAAGGGAUGGGCGCUAUCCUAUAUUUUGGAUUUGAUAUGAAAGGCAAUGCAUUGUCUUGCAAUUUCAUCAAUACCGAUACCGACCAAUUCUUAUUGUUGCAUUUUUUUUCACUUAAGGGCAAAUCACAUGACAAAUACUUGUCAUUCACAUUAAAUUAAUUAUAUAGUAAAGAAUACCUACAAAUAAAAAAGUCAAAUAAAUAUCAUAAAUAUGAAUACGUAUAUUGGAAAAUGUAUAUUUAUUAUUCUAAGUUGAUUUGAACCAGAAAUGUCCAUUAUAAAUCAAUUUAUCCUCUUUAAAUCCCCUCUGCAAAGGUUUUGAUUCUUACUCAUCCAUUCCGAAUAAAACAAGUUAUUUUUAUACCUGCUUCGAUUGAGUGUUCAGACCUCUGAAAAUACAUGCAUAUUCAAACUCAUAAGUGUAGUUCUUACAUAAUUACUUCAUCAAUAUAUUCAAUAAACAUAAAACCAAUGUCUGCUUUCAGUAUUGAGGACAGGAGAGAAUGAUUGUCUUAACCCAGAGGUGGGCAAACUACGGCCCGUUGGCCAAAUCUGGCCUGUUGGUCUUUUUAAUCCGGCCCGCCGAAGGUGGCGCAUUGACUUGAAGUUGCAGAACAGGGGGGGGGGGUUAUCGACCACCUAGGACCUCUGUAUCGCUCUACUUCUACUGGUGUGAUCACAACCCAUCUGCAGCAAUGCACAGGCUAAAAAUAGGUAAACAACACUGUUGGCAUUUUAAAAAGUAUAUUAAUACAUUACUUUCAUGCUUUUGUUCUGUUAAUGUUUGAUAUGAACUGUCAACAAAUGCCGUUUUUUUUUGUACCAUAGCUCGUGCUGACCUGGCCCUUCUGUCAAAUUUUAAAAGUCAAUGCAGCCCCCCGAGCCAAAAAGUUUGCCCACCCCUGUCUUAACCUGAAGUGCGAAUUCUUUAUUGUGAUUCAAUAAACACACGGUCAGGGCACAUUUUAAAUUAAAUUUUGGCACCUUUGCUCACAGUACCAAUGAAUUAGAAACUAAACAGAAUAGCGCUAUGCAUAUACCGGUAAUUUCCAUCUAUAACCUGAACCACUUUAUUCUCACAAGGGUCACAGGCGUGCGGGAGCCUAUCGCAGCUAUAUUUGGGGAGUAGGCGGGGUACACCCUGAACUGGUUGCCAGGCAAUCGCAGAGCACACAUAAACAAACACUCAGUCACACCUAGGAACAAUAUAGAGUGUUCCAUAUACCUACUAUGUAUGUAUUUGGAAUGUGGGAGGAAACAGGAGUACCCAGAAAAACCCACGCAGGCUCGUUGUGAACAUGCAAACUCCACACAGGAAUGAAUCAAACCAUGGACCUCUGCACUUUGAAGUACAUGCGCUAACCAGUCAACCACGAUGCCGCCACGAUAGCUUCUAUAUUGAUCAUUCGAAGCACACUGAGACAAGAUUUUCCACCCUUCUUCUUGACUUAACGACAUUUACACAUGCGCACACAGACACGUUCGUAGGCAGCUGGGAUAGGCUGCAGCACAACCGCGACCGUCGUGAAGAUAAGCAGAUCAGAUGAUAGAAGGAUGGAAAUAAGAGAAUAAAGUGACGUAGAGAUUGUAUUGUACCGUCAACAUAAUUUUAGCAGCAUUAUUCCACUAAUUAUAAACUUGUCGUAUUGUAGGGAUCUUGAAGAAGAGUGUGGUGUUGUGGGUGGUGGCGGUUGCAGUCAGAGUCCAUAUAUUGUUAUUUAAAAGUCUUAUGGGCAGGAUAAAGAAACUUGCCCUGAAUCUAGAUGUCUGGGUGUUGCUCCAGAUUUCCACUGCCUAAAACGUUGCUCAUACCUCUCGGUCAUCUUUGUCAUUGGCCCUUGGUGUGAUGAUCAUGUUCCCAGAAAUAUCCUCAGCGCUUUUCUCUGCGUGUCCACUAGUUUAAAAAAUGGCAUUCUGAUUGAUAUUGUCUUUGCGGAAUAAUUUUUAAGUAUUAAAAUCCACCCAUUUUUAUGCAUCUCAGGGGCGGCCAUUAUGCCAUUUUCUGUCGGGUGAAAAUGACAUCACAGUUGCUCAGGGCUCGGGUAACAACCAAUCACGGCUCACCUGUUUUCUGACGUUGAGCCACCGAAAUGACAAUGAAGGACUGACAAUCACAGUUUUGCUUAUGCUUGAAAAUAUGACGGGUGCCCAGGAUGCUGACAAAUGACGGACUGGAAAAAU